rnacentral:rRNA from 1 species
UACAGAGGUCCCAAGCGUUGUUCGGAUUCACUGGGCGUAAAGGGUGCGUAGGUGGCAGGGUAAGUUUGAUGUGAAAUCUCCGAGCUUAACUCGGAAACUGCAUUGAAUACUAUCCUGCUCGAGGGUUGGAAGGGGGACUGGAAUUGCGUCGGUGUAGCAGUGAAAUGACGUAGAUAUCGAGAGGAACACCAGUGGCGAAAGGCGAGUCCCUGGACAACACCUGACACUGGAGGCACGAAAGCGUGGGGAGCGAACAGG